rnacentral:rRNA from 1 species
CACGUAGGGUGCGAGCGUUGUCCGGAAUUAUUGGGCGUAAAGAGCUCGUAGGCGGUCCGUCACGUCGGAUGUGAAAUUCCAGGGCUCAACCCUGGACCUGCAUUCGAUACGGGCGGACUAGAGUUCGGUAGGGGUGACUGGAAUUCCUGGUGUAGCGGUGAAAUGCGCAGAUAUCAGGAGGAACACCGGUGGCGAAGGCGGCGACCCUGGGUAGAUACUGACGCUGAGGUGCGAAAGCGUGGGGAGCAAACAGG